GAUGAAGAACGCAGCGAAACGCGAUAUGUAAUGUGAAUUGCAGAAUUCAGUGAAUCAUCGAAUCUUUGAACGCACAUGGCGCCUUCCAGUAUCCCGGGAGGCAUGCCUGUCCGAGCGUCGUUUCAACCCUCGAGCCCCCGUGGCCCGGCGUUGGGGAUCUGCCCAGGCAGUCCCCGAAAACCAGUGGCGGACCCGUUACAGGCCCUUCCCUUGCGUAGUAGCAUUCGCCUCGCAUCGGGAGCCGGCGGGCUUCCAGCCUCUAAACCCCCAUCAAGUCCGCCCCGGCGGCACCAAGGUUGACCUCGGAUCAGGUAGGAAUACCCGCUGAACUUAAGCAUAUCAAUAAGCGGAGGA
rnacentral:misc_RNA from 1 species